rnacentral:rRNA from 1 species
UAAUACGUAGGCAGCGAGCGUUGUUCGGAGUUACUGGGCGUAAAGGGUGUGUAGGCGGCCUAUUAAGUUUGGUGUGAAAUCUCCCGGCUCAACCGGGAGGGUGCGCCGAAAACUGGGAGGCUAGAGUGCGGGAUGGGAGAGUGGAAUUCCUGGUGUAGCGGUGAAAUGCGUAGAUAUCAGGAGGAACACCGGUGGUGCAGACGGCUCUCUGGACCGUAACUGACGCUGAGACACGAAAGCGUGGGUAGCAAACAGGAUUAGAUACCCUGGUAGUCCACGCCCUAAACGAUGCAUAUUUGGUGUGGGUCAUUCAGUUGAUCCGUGCCGGAGCUAACGCGUUAAAUAUGCCGCCUGGGGAGUACAGUCGCAAGGCUG